GCCACUCUGUGGUGAGAGUUUGGUAUCUGCUGGCCACUUUGAAGCUCUGCCUUCAUAGUUCAAACUUUAGGAAUGGGAAACUAGUUUCUGUCCACAGGAUCCUGCUUCCAGAUCAAAAGUAGCCAGCCUCUGAGGUCACAAAGAUCUACCUCUGGCUCUGUGAAAAACUUAUGCUGCUGUCACUGCAAACAGGUUGUUCAUACUCCACGUGAGUCUGGUGAAGAGAUCGAAUAUUGUUACAGAUAUUCACAUGUAUUAUGAGAAGGACACUCCACCGAUGAACAAUCAGGGUGAAGGAGAAAAAGAUGCUGAAUGAGGAGGACACCAACAAAGAUGGGGUGAAUACAGAGAUCAACACUCCAACGAACAUUUGGGGUGAAGAGGAAGAUGAUAUCUCCGAGAUAGCGCUGGAUGAUGUGCCUUCGGUGAAAAUGGUGGGACGGCCUCCAUUCGCUCCGCGGGUGGCCUUCAUGGUGAACAAAACACAUGACACCGAGGACCCUAUGGAGAAACGGCCCAGCAUCAAUGCUCAAAAAGCAGCUCUCUACUAUGAUCAGAUGAUGACCAGUGAAACGACUAAUGAUAAUGCAGUGACGUCAGAGAUCACGACUCCAGUGACGAACAAUCAGGUUGAAGUUGA
rnacentral:lncRNA from 9 species